CUUUACUGUAGCCUGGAAUUGGGUUCGGGCUUCGCUUGCGCAGGAUAGGUGGGAGGCGCUUGAAGUGCCCCUUGUGGGGGGCAUCGAGCCAACGGUGAGAUACCACUCUGGCGAGGCUAGAAUUCUAACCGCUUCCCGUAAACCGGGAAAGGGACGGUUUCAGGUGGGCAGUUUGACUGGGGCGGUCGCCUCCUAAAAGGUAACGGAGGCGCGCAAUGGUUCCCUCAGCCUGGUUGGAAAUCAGGCCCACGAGUGUAAAGGCAAUUGGGAGCUUGACUGCAAGAGACACAGCUCGAGCAGGGACGAAAGUCGGCCUUAGUGAUCCGACGGUUCUGUGUGGAAGGGCCGUCGCUCAACGGAUAAAAGUUA
rnacentral:rRNA from 1 species